AGGGAGGCAGCAGUGGGGAAUAUUGCACAAUGGAGGAAACUCUGAUGCAGCGACGCCGCGUGAGCGAUGAAGGCCUUCGGGUUGUAAAGCUCUGUCGCAUGGGAAUAAGACAGUGAAUGUACCAUGCAAGAAAGGAUCGGCUAACUUCGUGCCAGCAGCCGCGGUAAGACGAGGGAUCCUAGCGUUGUUCGGAAUCAUUGGGCGUAAAGCGGGUGCAUGUGGCUUCGUAAGUCAGGUGUGAAAGCCCAGGGCUCAACCCUGGAAGUGCAUUUGAUACUGCAAAGCUUGAGUGCUGGAGAGGUAAGUAGAAUUCCUGGUGUAGUGGUGAAAUACGUAGAUAUCAGGAGGAAUACCGGAGGCGAAGGCGGCUUACUGGCCAGACACUGACACUCAGACCCGAAAGCGUGGGGAUCAAGCAGGAUUAGAUACCCGGGUAGUCC
rnacentral:rRNA from 1 species